rnacentral:rRNA from 1 species
GAUGAACGCUGGCGGCGUGCCUAAUACAUGCAAGUCGAGCGAACAGAUGAGGAGCUUGCUCCUCUGACGUUAGCGGCGGACGGGUGAGUAACACGUGGAUAACCUACCUAUAAGACUGGGAUAACUUCGGGAAACCGGAGCUAAUACCGGAUAAUAUAUUGAACCGCAUGGUUCAAUAGUGAAAGACGGUUUUGCUGUCACUUAUAGAUGGAUCCGCGCCGCAUUAGCUAGUUGGUAAGGUAACGGCUUACCAAGGCGACGAUGCGUAGCCGACCUGAGAGGGUGAUCGGCCAUACUGGAACUGAGACACGGUCCAGACUCCUACGGGAGGCAGCAGUAGGGAAUCUUCCGCAAUGGGCGAAAGCCUGACGGAGCAACGCCGCGUGAGUGAUGAAGGUCUUCGGAUCGUAAAACUCUGUUAUUAGGGAAGAACAAAUGUGUAAGUAACUAUGCACGUCUUGACGGUACCUAAUCAGAAAGCCACGGCUAACUACGUG